AUCCCCGAUGAUCACUUUGACAGCUCUGAAUCUUGGUGGAUCAAUACUCGAAAGGAAAUUCCAAGUCAGCUCAGAAACUUUGACACCAUCACCAUUCUGAUUCACUGGAGAAUUUGGAAAGAAAGAAACGCGAGGAUUUUUGAGCAUGUGGCCAGCAAUGUGGACAGGGUGAUGGAGCUGAUAAGAGAAGAUAUUGCUGUCUGGAGAGCUGCCGGUUGUGUAGGUGAUGUACACUGA
rnacentral:rRNA from 1 species